rnacentral:rRNA from 1 species
AUUGAACGCUGGCGGCAGGCCUAACACAUGCAAGUCGAACGAGUGGCGGACGGGUGAGUAAUGUCGGGGAAACUGCCUGAUGGAGGGGGAUAACUACUGGAAACGGUAGCUAAUACCGCAUACCAUCAGAUGUGCCCAGAUGGGAUUAGCGAGGUGGGGGGGUAACGGCUCCCCAAGGCGACGAUCCAUAGCUGGUCUGAGAGGAUGACCAGCCACACUGGAACUGAGACACGGUCCAGACUCCUAGGGGAGGCAGCAGUGGGGAAUAUUGCACAAUGGGCGCAAGCCUGAUGCAGCCAUGCCGCGUGUAUGAAGAAGGCCUUCGGGUUGUAAAGGACUUUCAGCGGGGAGGCGUUACCCGCAGAAGAAGCACCGGCUAACUCCGUGCCAGCAGCCGCGGUAAUUC